GAUGAGGAUGGUGAUGAGAGUCAUGGUGCUUUCUGCUGACUGACACAUGUGAGUCCUGCAGUGUUGAACUCACAGGACUAUAAACCUUCUCAGUUCACUGGAGGAUCAGCUGACCAUGCAAAGCCUCCUCUCUAUGGAAAUGAUGUCUCUGCUCUCAGCACACUGAAGGCAACGUGGGACACGAAACCAGGAGGAACACUGUCUGGAUUUACACCGUCUAUCAUCUGAAUGGAAGAACAUAUUUAUAUCAGGAGUGGAGAUGAGGAUUUGAGUUUGUGUCCACUGUGGUUGUGAGAUCAGGGAGCUUUCUCAGUGAUACAUGCUUGCUGACAGUGCAGGAGGUUUUUGUACGGCCACUCAAUGAGUUUGUAUCACUGUGGUGGACUUUUGGUGGAGGAACCAAACUCAUCGUUGACUUGGGUGUGCAGCAGCCCACCCUGAGCGUCCUCCCCCCCUCCAGAGAGGAGCUGCAGCAGGGCAGUGCCACCGUGGUGUGUCUGGCCAGCGGGGGCUUCCCCUCCGCCUGGAAGCUGGGCUGGAAGCUGGGGG